AUGCAGACUAAGAUUAAAUGUGAGAAGAGGGGUUUAGAAGCUGAAUCAGAACUUGAAGAUUCAGAGCACCAUGUGAGAUGCUUGGAGGUGCUUGGAGAUGACCUAGAACUUGUGCUGAAAGGCAGCUCCAGGAUCAAGCUGCACAUGAGGUGUUUCGUGAAGACUACAGCAGCCCUCUUGCAGGCAUGAGGGAGAAGCUACACAGAGAAAUAGAUCCAAAAGCCGG
rnacentral:lncRNA from 1 species